GACCCCAUCGUCUAACGGUUAGGACAUCGCCCUUUCACGGCGGUAACGGGGGUUCGAAUCCCCCUGGGGUCG
rnacentral:tRNA from 1 species